UACGAGGGGUGCAAGCGUUGCUCGGAAUUAUUGGGCGUAAAGGGUAGGUAGGUGGUCUCAUUUGUCUGGGGUGAAAGCCUUGAGCUUAACUCAAGAAGUGCCCCGGAAACGGUGAGACUGGAGUCCUGGAGAGGGUCGUGGAAUUCCUGGUGUAGCGGUGGAAUGCGCAGAUAUCAGGAGGAACACCAGUGGCGAAGGCGGCUCACUGGCCCGAUACUGACGCUGAGGCACGAAAGCGUGGGGAGCAAACAGG
rnacentral:rRNA from 1 species